GAUGAACGCUAGCUACAGGCUUAACACAUGCAAGUCGAGGGGUAACAAGAGAAAAGCUUGCUUUUCUUGUUGACGACCGGCGCACGGGUGAGUAACGCGUAUCCAACCUGCCUAUAACUAGGGAAUAACCUUGCGAAAGUAAGACUACUGCCCUAUGACUUCCUUUGGCGGCAUCAAAAAAGGAAUAAAGAUCUAUCGGAUAUAGAUGGGGAUGCGUCUGAUUAGCUUGUUGGCGGGGUAACGGCCCACCAAGGCAACGAUCAGUAGGGGUUCUGAGAGGAAGUGCCCCCACAUUGGAACUGAGACACGGUCCAAACUCCUACGGGAGGCAGCAGUGAGGAAUAUUGGUCAAUGGGCGGAAGCCUGAACCAACCAAUUAGCGUGCAGGAUGACGGCCCUAUGGGUUGUAAACUGCUUUUAUACAGGGAUAAAGUUAGCCACGUGUGGUUAUUUGCAGGUACUGUAUGAAUAAGGACCGGCUAAUUCCGUGCCAGCAGCCGCAGUAA
rnacentral:rRNA from 1 species